GUGGGGAAUAUUGGGCAAUGGGCGAAAGCCUGACCCAGCAACGCCGCGUGAAGGAAGACGGUCUUCGGAUUGUAAACUUCUUUGAUUGGGGAAGAACACAAUGACCUACCCAAAGAACAAGUCACGGCUAACUACGUGCCAGCAGCCGCGGUAAUACGUAGGUGACAAGCGUUAUCCGGAUUUACUGGGCGUAAAGGGCGUGUAGGCGGCCUUGCAAGUCAGAAGUGAAAUUCUCGGGCUCAACCCGGGCGCUGCUUCUGAAACUGUAGGGCUUGAGUGCUGGAGGGGAUAGCGGAAUUCCUAGUGGAGCGGUAAAAUGCGUAGAUAUUAGGAAGAACACCGGUGGCGAAGGCGGCUAUCUGGACAGUAACUGACGCUGAGGCGCGAAAGCGUGGGGAGCAAACAGGAUUAGAUACCCUAGUAGUCC
rnacentral:rRNA from 1 species